UACGUAGGGGGCAAGCGUUGUCCGGAAUCAUUGGGCGUAAAGAGCGUGUAGGCAGCUUGGUAAGUCCGCUGUGAAAGUCCAGGGCUCAACCCUGGAACGCCGGUGGAAACUGUCAAGCUUGAGUCCGGAAGAGGCGAGUGGAAUUCCUGGUGUAGCGGUGAAAUGCGCAGAUAUCAGGAGGAACACCAAUGGCGAAGGCAGCUCGCUGGGACGGUACUGACGCUGAGACGCGAAAGCGUGGGGAGCAAACAGG
rnacentral:rRNA from 1 species